GGGGACUGUGACUUGUUUCUGUUUUGCAGAUUCUAAUGCAAUGACAAGACUCAUCCCCAUGACAACGCAGGUCUCUGUCCUUGGCAGUCCUGCCCAUGUAAAAUCAUUAGAUUUGUUACUGACUGCUCUUCCAGCGACUCCCCGGGCUUGGCUGUUCAACUGGAGCACAUGACACGGACAAAGGCAGCCUCCAACAAUCCGAGACGAAGAAGCCUCAGUGGCUUUGGCACCGUGGAACAUUAAGUGGCAAUCCCCAGAUGCGGGUGGAGUUAUCUGAUGACGCCCUACCUAUAAGAUAUAGAGAUCAGCAUAUCAGGUUGGGAAGAAGGAGGAAGUCGUUGGAAAUUUCGUCUGAAAUCAACGGGGGGAGAUCCUACUGGCUAUAACCCCUGACACAUCCACUACAACUGUUACCAGUGAGUUAGAACUCCAUAUGAUCUCACAUGAAUCACCAGCUAACCAGCGAUAGUGACACCACUGGAUUCACAUCAAACCACGUUGUGAUUAUGUUCCACUGUAUACCGGCCUUAUCGGACACAACCAUGACAACCAGAUAAACAUUUGUUCUGAAUUGUGUUGUUUUCUUGUUAUUCUUUGGACUUAAAAGCUUUUAUCUAAGGGUAUCUGAAGGGGAUGGGCAACUCAAAUCAGGCAUAUCAUCCUUUCUAUUUGCCGGAGGCUUUAUUUCAAUAGAAACGUGAAACAAUGAGAAAUAAAGCUAUCCACAUGACACCAAAAACAGACUCAACUUUGUGAUGCCAAACACUGGUUUUCAUUUCGGUUGUUUCCUUGCCUGACACAAAUCACAGACAGCAACUCAGUGAGAAAGCAUUCAUCAAAGUGGCUGCUACAUACGAAUACAGAUAAGAUGACCUUGUUGCACUUUGUGUGGAAAAAAAUGAUAAACAUUUCCAUAUGUCAACAGCACAUAUCUACAUUUUAAAAAACUU